rnacentral:rRNA from 1 species
UACGGAGGGUGCAAGCGUUAUCCGGAUUCACUGGGUUUAAAGGGAGCGCAGGCGGAUUUGUAAGUCAGUGGUGAAAGGCUUAAGCUUAACUUGGGAACUGCCAUUGAUACUAUAAGUCUUGAAUGUUGUUGAGGUUUGCGGAAUGGGUCAUGUAGCGGUGAAAAUGCAUAGAUAUGACCCGGAACACCUAUUGCGAAGGCAGCAGGCUAAACAAAUAUUGACGCUGAGGCUCGAAAAGCGUUGGGGGAUCAAAACAGG